UCACACGAGUACUGGCCCUGAGGAAU
rnacentral:piRNA from 1 species